AGUGAACGCUGGCGGCAGGCCUAACACAUGCAAGUCGAGCGGCAGCGCGGGUGUAGCAAUACAUCUGGCGGCGAGCGGCGGACGGGUGAGGAAUACAUCGGAAUUUACCCAAUCGUGGGGGAUAACGUAGGGAAACUUACGCUAAUACCGCAUGAACUGGAGACAGCAAAGCGGCGGACCUUCGGGCGUCGCGCGGUUGGAUGAGCCGAUGUCGGAUUAGCAGUUGGCGGGGUAAAGGCCCACCGAGGCGACGAUCCGUAGCUGGUCUGAGAGGAUGAUCAGCCACACUGGAACUGAGACACGGUCCA
rnacentral:rRNA from 1 species